CUUUCCUGGCCAUAUCCAUGGCAGCACAACAAUGGGUAAUACCCAAGCUAAAACCAAGGGAGGGAAAGAAAAACUCAGACACAUUAUUAAAUAAUGCAAGUGUAUUGUCACAAACAACUCAAUGUGAUGAACAAAAAGAAUAGUAGUUAGUCCUAUGAGGCAGAAAGAACUGAUCUGCCAAAUCCAUCGUAUUGGCCAGCUCUUACAUCUAAACGAUAAUGUCUAAUAAAUGUAUUAGAAGAUGACCAAGUGGCUGCUUUGCAAAUCAG